CGAAUUGACAUACACAAUGUAUGGGAGCUUAUCAAUUUGCCAGUUUUUCACAACAUGAAUGAGUAGAAUCAUUAACCAUAUAUAUGUCACGGAUGUAUGUACAAAUUAUAGGACUGGCGUUACAUAUCUAUCGACGCCUUCAAAUCAGUCAUAAUCAUGAAUAUUGAACAGGAAGUGAAAAAAUCUUGGAACAGAAGAAUAUACAAGAAAAAGUAUGAAAAAUAUGCUUCGUCGUUAUUUCUAAGGAAAUCCAACGCUCAGCAUUCGGAAGAAGCUCGUUUCGAAGUCAACGUGGAGAAGCGACUCCGUUGAAAACAGUGGACGUUUUGGUUGGAAACGCGGUUUGGCCUAACUCCGAGGAAUCUGGACCGAAACUAUCUUCGAACUGCUGGCAAGACAGUUUGCCUGGAACUGGAAUUCUCUCUCUCUUUCUGUUUCUCUCUCGGGGAAACUAUCCAUUUCGUUUCUUCAUACUCUCUAUAUCGGUCCGUUUGCACACUACCCUCCGCUUCUCCCUUAUCCAUCUUCAAAUCCUCGACUUGCCAAUUUUC
rnacentral:misc_RNA from 1 species